rnacentral:lncRNA from 1 species
ACCAGACAGUAAAUCCGGAGGCAUGAGACUACAAAAAGUGGUUGGAGUGUAAGAGGCAGCAGUGUUAUUCAUAACUGGAGCAUCCUUUUCUGAGACAUUAUAUAUGAAGACCUUGAUGACUUCUUGAAUGUCUUGGUUCAUGGCUGCAGCUAAUAGAGCUACAGAAGGAGCCCUGAACCCAAUUUCUUCCUGUGACUCCAUCCCUCAACUCCUAGCGAUCUCCGGGACCUCAUUUCUGCCUAGCAACAUCACAACCAAUCAAGAUGCAAUUAGGCCUGGCAGUUCGGCUCAUCCUUCACUGGGAUUGGCUGCUGGCGGUGAGCGCAUCCUAAGUUUUCAUUGGCUGACGGCCACCUGUAUGGAAAUGAGAAUGACAGGGGACUCUCAGAGCCUUUUCUGCGACGUGGACCUGUGGCUUACUGCACUGAAACCUGCAAGCUCAGAGCCAGAACCCCUGGGCUUUUUUUCUGCCUUCUCUCCCUGUUCUUCACCCAAAGAGAUAUCUCUAACUUUUCCCUCAGCGCCUCUGUCUGAGGCCCAGUCGGAAAGAAAUUCGCAAAAAAUAAG